CCUGUGGUUGAAUGAUGAGGUUAAUGUUGGUAGGGACAUCUGAGUUAAAAUGAAGAAGCGCCAACAGCUCUGACCAUAGAGG
rnacentral:snoRNA from 1 species